rnacentral:lncRNA from 1 species
UAGGUGCCAUUAAUCCUUUAGCUGAAGAAUAUCUGUCAAAGCAAGAUCUACUUUUCUUAGACAUGCUCAAGUUCUUGUGUUUGUGUGUAACUACUGCUCAGACCAAUACUGUGUCCUUUAGGGCAGCUGAUAUUCGGAGGAAAUUGUUAAUGUUAAUUGAUUCUAGCACGCUAGAACCUACCAAAUCCCUCCACCUGCAUAUGCAAUGUGUGUUCUUUGUAUCGUCGUGACCAAGAUGUUUGUAAAACUAUUUUAAACCAUGUCCUUCAUGUAGUGAAAAACCUAGGUCAAAGCAAUAUGGACUC